rnacentral:lncRNA from 1 species
ACCUUAUUGCUUUAAAUUUCUACUCAUCAAUUCAUUGCUUCCAUUGCAUAUACAUUUAAUUCAUCUAAGUAGUGCACAUAAUUGUUGCAAGUUAGAAAAAAAUUUUAAAACCCAAUUCAUUCCUCUUGAGUUACAUCUCUGGGCAACAAUACUAUAGAAAGGCUCCAUGGCUAGUUUGGUUAAUUUCAUUUGAAACUAAUUAAAACAAUCAAAAUAGACUGAAACUAGUAAGUUUCAAAUGAAAUUAGAUGAAACUAUGGAAACACAAAGUUUGAGGUCAACUUCAGGUUAUUCUUUGC